AUGAAAAGAACUUUGAAAAGAGAGUCAAAAAGUGCUUGAAAUUGUUGAGGGGGAAGCCAUUGGCAGGUCAAGAUGCGCCCGGGCUCGAAGCUUGGCCUAACGGCCGGUGUCACGCGCCGGGCGCCUGUCAGCGCGGGUUUGGCGUGCGGGAGAAACCCGCCUUUGUCGGCGGUCUAUGCCGCGCGCCGGUCUCCUGCUGGCUUAAGGCCGUCAAUGGGCCCGUCUUGAAACACGGACCAAGGAGUCUAACAUGUACGCGAGUUGGCGGGUGGAAAACCCGUGAGCGCAAGGAAACUGACUGGUGGGAGGGCCUGUGCCUGCACCAUCGACCGACCAUGAUCUUCUGUGAAAGGUUCGAGUACGAGCGUACCUGUUGGGACCCGAAAGAUGGUGAACUAUGCCUGAGCAGGGCGAAGCCAGAGGAAACUCUGGUGGAGGCUCGUAGAUGUGCUGACGUGCAAAUCGCUUUUCGGACUUGGGUAUAGGGGCGAAAGACUAAUCGAACCAUCUAGUAGCUGGUUCCCUCCGAAGUUUCCCCCAGGAUAGCUGGAGCUCAUCAGUUUUAUCA
rnacentral:rRNA from 1 species